AUGGAGGGAUUUUGCUUUGGGGUCGAUUCAGUUUGCUGUUCUCUCCUGAUCGAGCGGCUGCAUUGUUCCACCUUUCGCUUUGAGUUUGUUGUCGCUGCCUUGGAGCCGCGCAGGGGGCCGCCGCCAAGGACCUCCCCGAGAUCCUCUAUCGUGUCCUCCACGGCCCCCCGCGACGAGCGCAAGGACCAGGACGACGUCGCCGUGGCGGCCCCGGGGGCAAGAGCGGCAAGCGGCGCUGCGUCGGCGGCGGCAGGGCCGCCGCGGCUGAGGCCACCAAGGCCCGGCGCGAGAAGGAGGCGGAGCACGCGCAGGCCGUGCCCGCGCGCUACGACUCUGACGAGGCCUUCCGCAACCUCUACGACGGCGUUGCCGACCUCUUCGCCGGGCUGCUCAAGUCGAGCCUGGAGCACCUGCGCGCGGGCGACACGGCCAAGAUCGCGUUCGCCGCCAAGUGAGGCCAUCGCGCGUCGCGUCUUCCCGCACGACUCGAGCCCCGAGUACCUCGCCAUCCCCCACAAGCACUACGCCUGCCGCGUCCGCAACCGGCUCCGCUGCGAGGUACAGGUGCCUCUCCGCAAGGUGCUCGAGCUCCCCGUGGUCUACAUGAGCGCCUGCAAGUGGGACGAGCUGCCCUACGCGCGCGUGGCGUCCACGGCCAUGCGCCAGUACAAGGAGGCGUCCUGGAUGGUGCUUCUUUCUUCUGAUCAUGGGGUCGGUGACGGCGGCCGGAAACCAGGAGGGCUGGCCGAGAAAGAGGGUGAGGACCUGGGGAUUGAAGAGGGUUCCUAUGCAUAUUGUUCAUUUCAAGGGAAAUAA
rnacentral:rRNA from 1 species